UACGGAGGGUGCAAGCGUUAUCCGGAUUCACUGGGUUUAAAGGGUGCGUAGGCGGGCAGGUAAGUCAGUGGUGAAAUCCCCGGGCUCAACCCGGGAACUGCCGUUGAUACUAUCUGUCUUGAAUAUCGUGGAGGUAAGCGGAAUAUGUCAUGUAGCGGUGAAAUGCUUAGAGAUGACAUGGAACACCGAUUGCGAAGGCAGCUUGCUACACGGUAAUUGACGCUGAGGCACGAAAGCGUGGGAAGCAAACAGGAUUAGAUACCCUGGUAGUCCACGCCCUAAACUAUGGAUACUCGACAUCAGCGAUACACUGUUGGUGGCUGAGCGAAAGCAUUAAGUAUCCCACCUGGGAAGUACGAUCGCAAGAUUGAA
rnacentral:rRNA from 1 species